GGGGAGGGGGGGGAGAUUGCUAUGGAUUUUGAUGGAGAGGUAGUUGUGGGGGUAUUGAUGGAUGGGUUGUUGGGAUUGCAAAUUUACAAAACAAUGGAGAAAGAGAGAGAGAGAGAUGCAUAAUGUAAGAAAGCAAGGGUAAGGGAAAAUAGGAGGCAAAAUGUGAGAGAUAAGGGAUUAGGAGAUAGAGAGAUGUAAAAUGUCAAAAAGGGUGAGAAAUAAAAAAGAGCAGAUGAAAAAACAGAGACAGAAUGACAGAGACUGCAUUUUGUGAUUUAUAGAGAAAGAUAAAAGGAGAAAGAACGUAACCUAAGUUGAUAAUUUUCUUUUAAUACUGAAUAGAAUAGCAUAGAGAGAAGAUGACUGAACAUUGAAUUGAGAAAUGUUAAAGAUUUAGAUCCCUCUCUCUCCUCUGAGCCUCUGAUCCUCAGUUGACAACUACAUCUCUUGCAAGGGUUUCUCUGUUUUAUAGAAGGAAAACGAAAGAA
rnacentral:misc_RNA from 1 species